GACGAACCGUCCGAACGUUAUUCGGAAUCACUGGGCUUAAAGGGUGCGUAGGCAGCGCGGAAAGUUGGGUGUGAAAUCCCUCGGCUUAACCGAGGAACUGCGCCCAAAACUACCGUGCUUGAGGGAGAUAGAGGUGAGCGGAACUUAGGGUGGAGCGGUGAAAUGCGUUGAUAUCCUAAGGAACACCGGUGGCGAAAGCGGCUCACUGGAUCUCUUCUGACGCUGAGGCACGAAAGCUAGGGUAGCGAACGGG
rnacentral:rRNA from 1 species